rnacentral:rRNA from 1 species
CCUACGGGUGGCAGCAGUGAGGAAUAUUGGUCAAUGGACGAGAGUCUGAACCAGCCAAGUAGCGUGAAGGAUGACUGCCCUAUGGGUUGUAAACUUCUUUUAUAUGGGAAUAAAACGUUCCACGUGUGGGAUUUUGUAUGUACCAUAUGAAUAAGGAUCGGCUAACUCCGUGCCAGCAGCCGCGGUAAUACGGAGGAUCCGAGCGUUAUCCGGAUUUAUUGGGUUUAAAGGGAGCGUAGGUGGAUUGUUAAGUCAGUUGUGAAAGUUUGCGGCUCAACCGUAAAAUUGCAGUUGAAACUGGCAGUCUUGAGUACAGUAGAGGUGGGCGGAAUUCGUGGUUUAGCGGUGAAAUGCUUAGAUAUCACGAAGAACUCCGAUUGCGAAGGCAGUUCACUGGACUGCAACUGACACUGAGGCUCGAAAGUGUGGGUAUCAAACAGGAUUAGAUACCCCUGUAGUC